rnacentral:rRNA from 1 species
UACGAGGGGGGCGAGCGUUGUUCGGAAUUAUUGGGCGUAAAGGGUGCGAUAGGCGGUUUGGUAAGUCUGAUGUGAAAUCUAGUGGGCUCCAACUCAUAGUCUGCAUCGGAAACUGCCGGGCUUGAGUGUGGGAGAGGUGAGUGGAAUUCCGUGGUGUAGCGGUGAAAUGCGUAGAUAUCGGGAGGAACACCUGUGGCGAAAGCGGCUCACUGGACCAUUACUGACGCUGAUGCUCGAAAGCU